rnacentral:rRNA from 1 species
GAGCCCGCACAAGCAGUGGAGUAUGUGGUUUAAUUCGAUGCUACGCGAAGAACCUUACCAGAACUUGACAUCCCAAGAAGACCGAUGUAAUGUUGGUUGUGCCCGCAAGGGAGCUUGGAGACAGGUGGUGCAUGGUUGUCGUCAGCUCGUGUCGUGAGAUGUUGGGUUAAGUCCCGCAACGAGCGCAACCCUUACGGUUAGUUGCUACGAAAGAGCACUCUGACCGGACUGCCGUUGACAAAACGGAGGAAGGUGGGGAUGACGUCAAAUCAGCAUGCCCCUUACGUUCUGGGCUACACACGUACUACAAUGGCGCAAACAAAGAGAAGCAAAGCCGCGAGGCAGAGCAAAUCUCAUAAAAGGCGUCUCAGUUCAGAUUGCAGGCUGCAACCCGCCUGCAUGAAGUCGGAAUUGCUAGUAAUCGCGGAUCAGCAUGCCGCGGUGAAUACGUUCCCGGGCUUU